rnacentral:rRNA from 1 species
GCUACACAUGCAGUCGAGCGGAACGACANUAUUGANUCUUCGGAGGAUUUGUUGGGCGUCGAGCGGCGGACGGGUGAGUAAUGCCUAGGAAAUUGCCUUGAUGUGGGGGAUAACCAUUGGAAACGAUGGCUAAUACCGCAUAAUGCCUACGGGCCAAAGAGGGGGACCUUCGGGCCUCUCGCGUCAAGAUAUGCCUAGGUGGGAUUAGCUAGUUGGUGAGGUAAUGGCUCACCAAGGCGACGAUCCCUAGCUGGUCUGAGAGGAUGAUCAGCCACACUGGAACUGAGACACGGUCCAGACUCCUACGGGAGGCAGCAGUGGGGAAUAUUGCACAAUGGGCGAAAGCCUGAUGCAGCCAUGCCGCGUGUAUGAAGAAGGCCUUCGGGUUGUAAAGUACUUUCAGUUGUGAGGAAGGGGGUNACGUUAAUAGCGUUAUCUCUUGACGUUAGCAACAGAAGAAGCACCGGCUAACUCCGUGCCAGCAGCCGCGGUAAUACGGAGGGUGCGAGCGUUAAUCGGAAUUACUG